rnacentral:rRNA from 1 species
AUGCAAGCCGAGCGGUAUGGAUAGCUUGCUAUCCAGAGAGCGGCGCACGGGUGCGUAACACGUGUGCAACCUACCUUUAUCUGGGGGAUAGCCUUUCGAAAGGAAGAUUAAUACCCCAUAAUAUAAUUGAUGGCAUCAUUGAUUAUUGAAAACUCCGGUGGAUAGAGAUGGGCACGCGCAAGAUUAGAUAGUUGGUGAGGUAACGGCUCACCAAGUCUGUGAUCUUUAGGGGUCCUGAGAGGGAGAUCCCCCACACUGGUACUGAGACACGGACCAGACUCCUACGGGAGGCAGCAGUGAGGAAUAUUGGACAAUGGGUGAGAGCCUGAUCCAGCCAUCCCGCGUGAAGGAUGACGGUCCUAUGGAUUGUAAACUUCUUUUGUACAGGGAUAAACCUACCCUCGUGAGGGUAGCUGAAGGUACUGUACGAAUAAGCACCGGCUAACUCCGUGCCAGCAGCCGCGGUAAUACGGAGGGUGCAAGCGUUAUCCGGAUUUAUUGGGUUUAAAGGGUCCGUAGGCGGACCUGUAAGUCAGUGGUGAAAUCUCAUACCUUAACUAUGAAACUGCCAUUGAUACUGCCAGGUCUUGAGUAAAUUUUGAACUGGCUGGAAUA